UACGUAGGGACCAAGCGUUGUUCGGAAUUACUGGGCGUAAAGCGUGUGUAGGCGGCCGCGUAAGUCGGAUGUGAAAGCCCUGGGCUCAACCCAGGAAGUGCACUCGAUACUGCGUGGCUUGAGUACUGGAGAGGUUGGUGGAAUUCUCGGUGUAGAGGUGAAAUUCGUAGAUAUCGAGAGGAACACCGGUGGCGAAGGCGGCCAACUGGACAGAUACUGACGCUGAGACACGAAAGCGUGGGGAGCAAACAGG
rnacentral:rRNA from 1 species